rnacentral:rRNA from 1 species
AGCGAACGCUGGCGGCAGGCCUAACACAUGCAAGUCGAACGAACUCUUCGGAGUUAGUGGCGGACGGGUGAGUAACACGUGGGAACGUGCCUUUUGGUUCGGAAUAACUCAGGGAAACUUGUGCUAAUACCGAAUGUGCCCUUCGGGGGAAAGAUUUAUCGCCAUUAGAGCGGCCCGCGUCUGAUUAGCUAGUUGGUGAGGUAACGGCUCACCAAGGCGACGAUCAGUAGCUGGUCUGAGAGGAUGACCAGCCACACUGUGACUGAGACACGGCCCAGACUCCUACGGGAGGCAGCAGUGGGGAAUCUUGCGCAAUGGGCGAAAGCCUGACGCAGCCAUGCCGCGUGAAUGAUGAAGGUCUUAGGAUUGUAAAAUUCUUUCACCGGGGACGAUAAUGACGGUACCCGGAGAAGAAGCCCCGGCUAACUUCGUG